UACGUAGGGUGCAAGCGUUGUCCGGAAUUAUUGGGCGUAAAGAGCUCGUAGGCGGUCUGUCGCGUCUGCUGUGAAAACUCGGGGCUCAACUCCGAGCCUGCGUUCGAUACUGGACGGCUAGAGUCUGGUAGGGGGAUCUGGAAUUCCUGGUGUAGCGGUGGAAUGCGCAGAUAUCAGGAGGAACACCGGUGGCGAAGGCGGGAUCCUGGGCCAGUACUGACGCUGAGGAGCGAAAGCGUGGGGAGCAAACAGG
rnacentral:rRNA from 1 species